rnacentral:lncRNA from 1 species
AUGGAGAAAAAAAAGAAAAACCAACCGAGGCACAUCCUUGUCACCCAGAAAGAAACUGCUCGGGCCGCUGAGAGCGGGCGCGGGACCGGGCGCGGCGCCUCUCCCGGCCCGGCUCGCUCUUUCUUCCCUCCUCGGCCGGGCCGCGCCUCCCCGCCCCGCGCCGCCGCCACCAAGCAGCCCGCGGGCAGAGCCGAGCUCUCCGCGGCGCGCAGCCGGGAGCGAAAGCGCGAGCUCGCUCGCAGCCUCCAGCCGGUCUGGGCGGCGAGUGGCGCUGUUUCCCAGUCGCGCAGCUGGAAUUUAAAGAGACAGGCGCGUCGCGGGAUCUGGGCCCUUGCCCAGGAGAGGAGCCCCACAGGAGGCCCAACGUCUCGGAACCGCGCGGGAUGGACCGAGCGGGCCCUGCGAGAAAAGUUUCCUGCGGAGACGGCUGGAGGAGCGCCUGAGGACCAGGCUCAGCUUCCUCUCCCGAGUGCAGAACACAGUCUGCAAGGAGAGAUGAUCAAGUGUAAAAUGUACUAAAGAAGAGAUACGUGGGGAACAAAGACACCAAUUAGAAAACCAUAGCCUGAAGAAGUCACACCAUUCAUUUUGGGAGCUGUCCAUGUAAGAGUUUUCUCUUCUAUUAAAAAAAAAAAAAAAAGAGUUAAAAGCAACAUUCUUGCAUGCACCCAAAAGAGAGAAGCAAAUCCAAUUGAUCAGUGUCUAAGAUUCACUGAGCUUUGUCUUGCAAGUGAGCAUGAAUUCUAUUCCUUCACUAAAGAAUUAUCCUGUCCCUCUUGUUUCUGUGGAAUAUGCACAGCAGAGCAGACGUUGCACAUCCUACCCACUGAGGGGAAGGUGAAGGGGUAGAGGAAGCCUACAACUCUCUUCUCGGGUUUGUAUAAAAAUGGACAUACUAGGCAGCCUUGUGGUCUUUGUGGGAAAGCUGGUUGGUCAAGUAUUUCAAAAAAUGCAUAGUUUUUGUGUGUGUCUGAGGACCAAAGUCCCAAUAUUAAUUCAUAUGGGAGGUAAGAGACCCCUCCUCAACCCAAUACCCCAGAAUUUUGGAUUUAUAGGAAGGGAGACCACAUAAUACAUUAUCCAAACUAGGACACCAUUGAAGAUAAAGAGAAAACUAUUCAAAAUUACACCAGGAUAACAGGUUUAAACUGAGAUUAUCCUGAGUAAACCUGUGAUAUCCUAUAAAUUAUAGUAUGCUUGCAUAUGAAAUUAGUAUAAAAUGCCUUGGCCAGGCGUAGUGCCUCACGACUGUAAUCUCAGCACUUUGGGAGGCCGAGGCAGGUGGAUCACCUGAGGUCAUGAGUUCAAGACCAGCCUGGGCAAUAUGGUGAAACCCCAUCUCUACUAAAAAUACAAAAAUUUGCCAGGUGUGGUGGCACAUGCUUGUAGUCCCAGAUACUCAGGAGGCUGAGGCACGAAAAUUGCUUGAACCCAGGAGGUGGAGGUUGCAGUGAACCGAGAUCACGCCACUGCACUCCAGCCUGGGCAACAGAGUGAGACUCGGUCUCAAAAUAAUAAUAAAAAUAAAUAAUAAAUAAAUUCACCUUCCCCGUAAUACCUUGAGUCCCUACUAUCUUUAUUAGUAGAUAGUCGCAUAUUUUCUUCUUGAGAACCCUCCUUUCAUCAACUAAAACCUUUAGCAUCCAUGAGGCCUAAUUUGCACACCCAAUAAGGGUGAACACUGGACUCUAGUGCACUCUGGUUCUUGUUGCUGUGUGGUUGGAACUACAGAAGUUGGAUCCUAUAGGCUCAAAAGUCAAUGCCAAUCCAUUUCUGAAAUAAUGACCUGAUAACCCAGCUCCAGGCUAUCGUGGUUCAGCAUGGAAGCAGGAGCCCGUUCCCUCAGUGCUAACACGAGGGCAAGCGUACCCCUUACUUGAGUUUCCAGUGCUGUAGCUCUUGGCUCUCAGUUCUUUGGGGUCUGGAUUGGUUCAGUGUCAGCCACUCAGAGACCACUUUCCCUUUCCCUCCCCAGGGUGUUGGGGAGCUUUUCAUUUUAAAUUCUCCAAACACAAGGUUGUUACUCUUCUGAGGAAUGUAGGCCUCUGUCAACCAAAGGUGGUUUUACCCUACAAUGAAAGAACCCCUAUAUCUUUGGGGGAUGAUGAAGGUUGAGGAUACCUUUUUUGAUUCCAAAGCAAGUUUUUGGCAUGUCUCUUGAGAGAAACUUUUUUUGAAAAAGGUAAACUCUAAUGGGAUACUCUUCUAUGCACAGAUUAAUAAAAUUGAAAUGCCUCCUAUUUGCCAAGUGAGUAUCAUUGUGAUCCAUAAAAAUAUGGGAAAAGAUUAUAGUAUUUGUGUUGGCUAUAGAAAUUACGAAACUGAUGGAAUAGCAACUAGAGACAUUUUCUAAGAAAAGCCUUACUGAAUCUAGAGACUGAUUAGGUUUCUUAAUAAACCAAAAAAUAAAAAAAGGAAAAAAAUCAAGUGUGAAACAAGAGUUUUGACUUUAAGUGAUGAGAAUAAUACUGAUGCUAAGAGGAAGUGGGAGUUAAUGCUGCUGGUUUAGCAUCAAAUAUAAUUAAUCAAAUUUGAAAAAUAUUGGUAUUGUGCUAACAGUAGGACAUCCGAGCAGUAAAUAUCUAACAAACAAUUUGACUUUUUUUAUUUAAAUGGAGCGUGGUAGGGAGAUUAGAAGUUACAAUACAGAGUUGGAAAUCUUUCGCCUCUUAGAGCAUGAGUUGUAGACUUGUGGAUGAGCUCAUCAAGGGUAAAGAGUGGGAAGAAAAAGAUAAGUCAUCAAAGAAGUCAAGGCAAGUGUGGUCAAAGAGAGAACAGUGUGAUGUGUCUUACAAAUGGAGACAAAUGCCAGUGUAACCCAGAAAUCUGAACAGAGAGAAAACAUGGAAAACCUGAAGCAGGAAAUUCAACUGGAAGUAAAGACUAUUAACUAUUAUGGAGAGAUCAAAGGAACCAAAGACUCUGAAAAUAAACCCUUGGAAUUUAUACAAAGGAAAAAAGGUACAAAUAUUUGAGUACCAGCUAUAUGCUAGGUGCUUUUCCUUACAUUAAAUAUUUUAAAAACAAAGAGUGUGGCAGUGACUUUGGAAAGAGAAUUUUGGCAGGAAAGGAAUGAACAAUAAAUUCAAAGUGGUGCCUUGGAAUAGUGAGACCUAGCUAGAAAUUUUUUUUGUUUUGUUCUCUUGUGUCAAGAUAGAGCAAACUGCUUGUUUGAAGGCAGGGAGAAGGAAACCUCCUGAGAGAGAGAUUAGAGGGAGUAUGAUGGAAGCUAAGUAAUUGCAAUGGCAAAUGUUGAAAAG